rnacentral:rRNA from 1 species
UACGUAGGGGGCAAGCGUUAUCCGGAUUUACUGGGUGUAAAGGGAGCGUAGACGGCGAUGCAAGUCAGAUGUGAAAACCCAUGGCUCAACCAUGGGAUUGCAUUUGAAACUGUGUUGCUAGAGUGCAGGAGAGGUAAGCGGAAUUCCUGGUGUAGCGGUGAAAUGCGUAGAUAUCAGGAGGAACACCGGUGGCGAAGGCGGCUUACUAGACUGUAACUGACGUUGAGGCUCGAAGGCGUGGGUAGCAAACAGG